UACAGAGGUCUCAAGCGUUUGUUCGGGAUUCAUUGGGCGUAAGGGUGUGUAGGUGGCGCGCUAAGUCGGGUGUGAAAUUUCGGAGCUUAACUCGAAACUGCAUUCGAUACUGGCGUGCUUUGAGGGACUGGGAGAGGAGACUGGGAAAUUUCAUGGGUGUAGCAGUGAAAUGCGUAGAGAUUUGGAAAGAGCACCGAUGGCGAAAGGCAC
rnacentral:rRNA from 1 species